UACGGAGGGUGCAAGCGUUAUCCGGAUUCACUGGGUUUAAAGGGCGCGUAGGCGGUUAAGUAAGUCCGUGGUGAAAUCUCUGAGCUUAACUCAGAAACUGCCGUGGAUACUAUUUGCCUUGAAUAUUGUGGAGGUGAGCGGAAUAUGUCAUGUAGCGGUGAAAUGCUUAGAUAUGACAUAGAACACCAAUUGCGAAGGCAGCUCACUGCACAAUCAUUGACGCUGAGGCACGAAAGCGUGGGGAGCAAACAGG
rnacentral:rRNA from 1 species